UACGUAGGUGGCAAGCGUUGUUCGGAAUUAUUGGGCGUAAAGCGCGCGCAGGCGGUUUCUUAAGUCUGAUGUGAAAUCUCGUGGCUCAACCACGAGCGGCCAUUGGAAACUGGGGAACUUGAGUGCAGAAGAGAAGAGCGGAAUUCCACGUGUAGCGGUGAAAUGCGUAGAGAUGUGGAGGAACACCAGUGGCGAAGGCGGCUCUUUGGUCUGUAACUGACGCUGAGGCGCGAAAGCGUGGGGAGCAAACAGG
rnacentral:rRNA from 1 species